GCAACAUGGACAUUGAAAAAAUAUUACGCUGGAAAUUUUUCAUUACCAUUUUUACAAUUUUACAUCCUGGUUUCAAAAUGAGUAAAGGAAUUGUUCAUAAGAAAUAAAUUCGUUAUCUUGGUGUAAUCAGGGGUGUACGGAAUUUUACACCGUUGUUGAAAAUUCAUACACCCAUUCGGCUGCGCCUCAGGGUGUAUGAAUUUUCAACAACGGUGUAAAAUUCUGUACACCCCUGAUUACAUCAAGAUAACUAAUA
rnacentral:lncRNA from 1 species